rnacentral:lncRNA from 1 species
ACUUAACAUCUUGCUUACACAUGAUCAUAUAUGAGUCAUGUAUUUAACUUUUUAAAAUUAUACUUUGACCAUUUUCGAGACCCAUCAAGAUAUCCAAGUGGACUCACUUUCUGGAGCCUAUAAGCUGUGUUUCCUAAGCAAUGCUCUUCCUGAAGUGAAUUUCUCUCCCUUCAGAGUGAAAGACAAAAUAGACUCUAUAUCAGUGUGUAUAAUCAAAUCAAGGUGGUCCAAAGAAAAGUUUCUCCUUGAUUUUGACCAUGAAUAAUGAGCUUCAGUAAUCAACAAGUGCUCUUCACAAUACAGGAUUCAGGAAAGGAGUGAGAACUGCAUCAAAGAUGGCCAGAAACUUACCUACAUGUCUGGAGGGACAUGGCCAUGUAUAGAAGAAUAUCAAAGGACCAAAGAACAGGAGCACCACAGUGAUGUGAGCUGACAGUGUGGACAGAGCCUUUGAUGAACCAGAGGAAGAAUGUUUCUGAACAGUAAGAAUGAUGACAAUAUAGGAAAUGACCAGUAUGAAGAAGGAGGCAACAGAGAUGAAUCCACUGUUGGCUGUGACCAUGUUCUCUAAUUGGUAGGUGUCUGUGCAGGCAAGUUUGAUGAACUGAGGAAGGUCACAGUAAAAGCUGUCCAACACAUUAGGACCACAGAAGGGUAAGUUUACCACAAAAGCCAAUUGAACUGUGGAGUGGAUAAGGCCAGUCAUCCAGGCAGCCACUAAAAAGAAGACGCACAUUCUUGGGCUCAUGAUGGUCAGAUAGUGGAGGGGCUUACAUAUGGCAACAUAUCUGUCAAAGGCCAUGGCUAUGAGCAGCACCAUCUCCACACCACCAAUGACAUGGAUGAAGAAGAUUUGAGUGAUGCAGCCUCUAAAGGAGAUGAGUUUACGCUUUCUGAAAAG